AAAUAUUAUUAUUGUUUUUAUUUAGGUAUCUUACUCUGUAUUUGUUCACGGUGGUCACCCCAGGGUCUCAGGACUCAAAUUGAGUGCUCUAUGGAUUAAACAGAAAAUGCAGUAUAAACAAGUGUUAUGUUGUCUUGAACAUGUUGGUAACUUACUCUGUAUUUGUUCACGGUGGUCACCCCAGGGUCUCAGGACUCAAAACGAGUGCUCUAUGGAUUGAAUAUAAAAUGUAGUAUAAACAAGUGUUAUGUUUUUAAAUGCCACUAAUAAUGUGUUUCUGUUUUCUUUCUCAUUAUGCUAACAAACACUCUUUUACCCCUCAUGUUAGGUAGAUCAACACUCCAACCAUCUGCAUUAGGGACUGAAUAAAGGAUGCCCUCUGUAGCUGGGAAUGUUAGAUCAGGCGGAUCAACAUUCCAUCCAUCUGCAUUAGGAUCUACCUUAGAGACACUCACUGGAGCUGUAAAUGGGAAGCAGGUCACUUACUUUGCAUUCGUCCUUGGUGGUCACCCCAGGGUCUCUAGAGUGAAAAUUACUCAAUCUAUGGAUUAAACAGAAAAUGU